rnacentral:rRNA from 1 species
GACGAACGCUGGCGGCGUGCUUAACACAUGCAAGUCGAACGGAAAGGCCCUGCUUUUGUGGGGUGCUCGAGUGGCGAACGGGUGAGUAACACGUGAGUAACCUGCCCUUGACUUUGGGAUAACUUCAGGAAACUGGGGCUAAUACCGGAUAGGAGCUCCUGCUGCAUGGUGGGGGUUGGAAAGUUUCGGCGGUUGGGGAUGGACUCGCGGCUUAUCAGCUUGUUGGUGGGGUAGUGGCUUACCAAGGCUUUGACGGGUAGCCGGCCUGAGAGGGUGACCGGCCACAUUGGGACUGAGAUACGGCUCAGACUCCUACGGGAGGCAGCAGUGGGGAAUAUUGCACAAUGGGCGGAAGCCUGAUGCAGCAACGCCGCGUGCGGGAUGACGGCCUUCGGGUUGUAAACCGCUUUCGCCUGUGACGAAGCGUGAGUGACGGUAAUGGGUAAAGAAGCACCGGCUAACUACGUGCCAGCAGCCGCGGUGAUACGUAGGGUGCGAGCGUUGUCCGGAUUUAUUGGGCGUAAAGGGCUCGUAGGUGGUUGAUCGCGUCGGAAGUGUAAUCUUGGGGCUUAACCCUGAGCGUGCUUUCGAUACGGGUUGACUUGAGGAAGGUAGGGGAGAAUGGAAUUCCUGGUGGAGCGGUGGAAUGCGCAGACAUCAGGAGGAACACCAGUGGCGAAGGCGGUUCUCUGGGCCUUUCCUGACGCUGAGGAGCGAAAGCGUGGGGAGCGAACAGGCUUAGAUACCCUGGUAGUCCACGCUGUAAACGGUGGGUACUAGGUGUGGGGUCCAUUCCACGGGUUCCGUGCCGUAGCUAACGCUUUAAGUACCCCGCCUGGGGAGUACGGCCGCAAGGCUAAAACUCAAAGGAAUUGACGGGGCCCCGCACAAGCGGCGGAGCAUGCGGAUUAAUUCGAUGCAACGCGUAGAACCUUACCUGGGUUUGACAUGGAUCGGGAGUGCUCAGAGAUGGGUGUGCCUCUUUUGGGGUCGGUUCACAGGUGGUGCAUGCCUGUCGUCAGCUCGUGUCGUGAGAUGUUGGGUUAAGUCCCGCAACGAGCGCAACCCUUGUUCACUGUUGCCAGCACGUUAUGGUGGGGACUCAGUGGAGACCGCCGGGGUCAACUCGGAGGAAGGUGGGGAUGACGUCAAGUCAUCAUGCCCCUUAUGUCCAGGGCUUCACGCAUGCUACAAUGGCUGGUACAGAGAGUGGCGAGCCUGUGAGGGUGAGCGAAUCUCGGAAAGCCGGUCUCAGUUCGGAUUGGGGUCUGCAACUCGACCUCAUGAAGUCGGAGUCGCUAGUAAUCGCAAAUCAGCAACGCUGCGGUGAAUACGUUCCCGGGGCU